AUUGAACGCUGGCGGCAGGCCCAACACAUGCAAGUCGAACGGCAGCACAGAAGAGCUUGCUCUUUGGGUGGCGAGUGGCGGACGGGUGAGUAAUGUCUGGGAAACUGCCCGAUGGAGGGGGAUAACUACUGGAAACGGUAGCUAAUACCGCAUAACGUCGCAAGACCAAAGUGGGGGACCUUCGGGCCUCACACCAUCGGAUGUGCCCAGAUGGGAUUAGCUAGUAGGUGGGGUAAUGGCUCACCUAGGCGACGAUCCCUAGCUGGUCUGAGAGGAUGACCAGCCCGACUGGAACUGAGACACGGUCCAGACUCCUACGGGAGGCAGCAGUGGGGAAUAUUGCACAAUGGGCGCAAGCCUGAUGCAGCCAUGCCGCGUGUAUGAAGAAGGCCUUCGGGUUGUAAAGUACUUUCAGCGGGGAGGAAGGCGGUGAGGUUAAUAACCUCGCCGAUUGACGUUACCCGCAGAAGAAGCACCGGCUAACUCCGUGCCAGCCGCCGCCGUAA
rnacentral:rRNA from 1 species